ensembl:lncRNA
AUGGAGGAACAAACAGCAAAGAGCGAUGCGAGGAAUGGUCUGCAGAAUGAUAUUCCACGACUGCAGUCUAUGCUGGCAAAACUUAAUCUAAUACACAAACAUCCCAAAACAGACAAUGUUAAAUUACAUCCAGGUACAGCCUGUAAAAGUAUGUUUUACCAUUCUCUGGAGCCUGAAGAAGGAAUAAAAAAUGAAGAAAACAGGAAAGAAAGCACAGUCAGAUCUGGUGAUGAGGAGCAACCAACUAGGAGUUCUGAAACAAAAGAUGGAAAUGAAGCUGUUGAAGAGGUCAAAGAGCUUCCAGAAGCAUUUCCUAAAUGGGAGAGGAAGAGUUUACUCCCUGACUGUUUGUCCAUAGAAAUCCAGAUGGGAAAAUUAGGUCGCCAGCCAAGAGAAAGUGAGUCUUUGGAGGACAAAAAGAGCAAAGAGAUGGAAGAGCAUGUGGCUGGAGCUGCAUUAUUGCCUAACAAUCAAUAUCAAGAAAUGUCUGCACACACAUCUUACCUCUCUGUGUCCUCCGAUAAAGUGGACUCUGCACAGAUGGGGUUGAAGCAUGAACCAGAUGAAGCUUGUGGUCCUUCAAAACAGUAUGUCAGUAUGGAUACAAGCAGGGUUCUAACCCAUCAAACAGCUGUGAAUGUUACAGGCAAGACAACAAGGUCCACUUCAGAUCCAGUAACCCAGGAAUCCAGUAAAUCCUUUAAUCCAAUAAAGGAAGAGAGACCCCUUUCAGCUCCAAGUAUUUCAAACCUACGGGAAUAUGAAAAGUAUGAAGAUUUUGCAAAUGCAAUGCCAGCCAAAAGCUUCAGCAAAGCUGCUAAGAUUUUGGGACAGGGGUAUUCAGGCAUGAGCAUAGGAAAUGUGGAACAUGACAACUCACUCACCAAAACGCAAAAGAAAGGAGUGAAAAACAAAAUGAAGAAUCUUACUCAAAAACUGAUGGAAAAGCUUAAAGAUAAACAUGAUUGUGAGCACGCUGGCAGGAGGAGCACCCAAGACAGCAUGGAAGAAGAAGAAGGACAAAAACUGAAUUCCAUGGAGGUGGAAGCCGAGGCUCAAGAUAUUCCACCACCACUUCCACCAAAAAUGGGGAAAUAUGUUUUCUUAGAAAGAACAUUUACCCUAAAAGACUUCAAACUCAAUCUUGAACCUAUCAACUUAAUGGAAGAAAUAUUCACAGGCAGCGAAUGGCUCAGUUACUUGCCCAUCAAAGAAAGUCCAGCUGAGAAAGAAACUAGUGAUCAGUCAAUGACAAAUGAUGUUCUCCGACCAGAAAAGGACAUUCAGCUCGAUGUUCCUCCCCCGACAGCAGAGCAGGACCAGUCAGAGGACAUAAAGACACCAGAGGAGGACCAGCCAGAGGAUGUAAAGACACCAGAGGAGGACCAGCCAGAGGACGUUAAGGUCAAUCAAGACAGUGCUAGUGAUCCUCAAGAGGACAAUGUAGCAAAAGUGAAAAGUGACUUGGAUGUAAAACAAGUGGAAUGGGAUGCAAACAUAUUUGCUAUACCUAAGGCACUGCUAACAAAUAAUGCAAGACAAAAAAGGUCUUGUGAGUCAAACAAAUCAGAUGACGUCUAUGACUGUGUGGAUAUGUAUAUUAUUCCAAAAAAUGACUUUCCAUUAAUGAAAAGAAAGGCAUCAGAUGCUCUGUUGGACUUUUCAGCAGUCAAGUCAUUUGAACUGCUGGACAACUCUGCCCUCAAGAGUCGAAUUCGUCUUAGCAAAAAGAGACACCACCGAUCACCUAAAAAGCACAAAAAAGGUGAGAAGAUGUAUGAAUUUACUGAGAGUAUGAAUUUACUGAAUGAAAGCAAUGAGCAUGACAUUUAUUUCACGGUUUUUCUCUUCCAGUAAAAACAGAAAUGUUGAGCAGCAUAUUCUACAAGAUUCCCACGGUAAUACUGAAUGAAUCUCCUGUCAGCGCAUCUCCACCAUGUCACAGCAUUCCCUUUUCCAUGUCUCCUCCUUUGCAUUUACCAUCACGUCCAUACCACUACUGACCAUACCAGAUCUAUCAUCUGCAUUUGUCAGGUCAGUAAAGUCACAGAAGCAGUCAAACGCAAAGUAAAGCACAAACCAAGAAAGACAAUAUUGCAUAAAAUCUAUUUCGUUGUUCAUGUGAUCAUUUUAUUAAUAGUCUUCCUAGUUUUAUACUUCCUAGGCAGAUUAAAAGAUACCUUUACUGUAAAGACUGAAAAUUUACUGGUGUGCAAAAGAUGGGAGACAUUACAGUGGAUAAUCCAUUUGCAAGAAAGAACCUUUUUCACAUAAUUAUUUUCUUAAUAAUUUGCAAAAAGUCAUUAAUGUAAUGAUUUGCUACGUCAAUAUACAGGUUUUUAAGUUAAUAAUACACCUGUUCAUUCACCACUAGUGAUGAACUGUAAAGUACAGUAAAUCAUCAGUCUUUCUCCACAGUCCUUAUUAUGAAAUUAUGCAAAAUACCAUGUAAUAUUAUCAUGUAAUGUCAUGCGUGUGUCUUUUGCUGUCUUUAGAUUCCACUAAUGAAUUGUAAUGAGUUGUAAAUCACCAUUCAUUUAAUUUCUGACUUCAAAGUGUUAUCUGAUUUUUUUUAGUUGUGUGGUAUUACAAAUUUAUGAAAUGUUAAUUCUAGUUUCCAAUAUAAUAGUAUAUAAACUGAAAAAGUUAUGUACAUUGUGUUUUACAUUUUGAGGUAAAAAAAAGAUCAAAUCAGGAAGCCCAGGUGUCUGAGAUAAUGACCUUUUGUCUUUGUGCUCUUCCUUGCCAUUUGGCUUUUUAAGCUCAAGGCACAGCUGUGCCUUUGUCUCUAUGAUAAUGUGAAGAUAUGGGCGAUACUGUCAGACACCUCUGCAUUUGAAUGACAAUGUUAUGCUGAUGAGAUCAAAGAUGGGAAAUUUCCAGUGUCAGGCUGAUCCCUGUACUGCAUUUGCAUUCUUUGUUUACAUUGUCUCCACCUCUAUGUAUCCCUCUCCCUAGAAGUGUAUAUAAACUACAAAUGUAUAAAUGACUAUUUAGACUUUUGAUGACUACAGCGCCACGCAGCGCAUUCUCAAUAAAGAAUUCUGCUGAAGAUUACCCA